rnacentral:rRNA from 1 species
CCUACGGGAGGCAGCAGUGAGGAAUAUUGGUCAAUGGGCGAGAGCCUGAACCAGCCAAGUAGCGUGAGGGAAGACGGCCCUAUGGAUUGUAAACUUCUUUUGUCGGGGAGCAAAAAGCGGUACGCGUAGCGCAUCGAGAGUACCCGGUGAAUAAGCACCGGCUAAUUCCGUGCCAGCAGCCGCGGUAAUACGGAGGAUGCGGGCGUUAUCCGGAUUUAUUGGGUUUAAAGGGUGCGCAGGCGGCGAGUAAAGUAAGCGGUAAAAUUUCGGGGCUCAACCCCGCCAUGCCGUGGAAACUGGCUUGCUAGAGUGGGCGAGAAGUAUGCGGAAUGCGUGGUGUAGCGGUGAAAUGCUUAGAUAUCACGCAGAACUCCGAUUGCGAAGGCAGCAUGCCGGCGCCCAACUGACGCUGAGGCACGAAAGCGUGGGUAUCGAACAGGAUUAGAUACCCCAGUAGUC